rnacentral:rRNA from 1 species
GACGAAAGUCUGACGGAGCAACGCCGCGUGAGUGAAGAAGGUUUUCGGAUCGUAAAACUCUGUUUUCAGGGACGAAUGUGCAAUAUGUGAAUAAUGUGUUGUAAUGACGGUACCUGACAAGAAAGCCACGGCUAACUACGUGCCAGCAGCCGCGGUAAUACGUAGGUGGCAAGCGUUGUCCGGAAUUAUUGGGCGUAAAGCGCGCGCAGGUGGGAUAAUAAGUCUGAUGUUAAAGUUCGGGGCUCAACCCCGUGAAGCAUUGGAAACUAUUAUUCUUGAGUGCAGGAGAGGAAAGUGGAAUUCCUAGUGUAGCGGUGAAAUGCGUAGAUAUUAGGAGGAACACCAGUGGCGAAGGCGACUUUCUGGACUGUGUCUGACACUGAGGCGCGAAAGCCAGGGUAGUGAACGGGAUUAGAUACCCCGGUAAUCCUGGCCGUAAACGAUGGGUACUAGGUGUUGGGGGUAUCGACCCCUCCAGUGCCGGAGUUAACGCAAUAAGUACCCCGCCUGGGGAGUAC